CAAAAAAUAGCUAUAGUUUGUAAUUCCAACAAAAAGCAUCGUAUUUUUGCUAUUUGUUUUCUCUCUAUUUUUAGAAAUACCUUUUUAGGUUAUGUAUUUUUUAAGAAAUACUUUUUUAGCUACCAAUGUGGAAUUACACCUAUGAUUCUUCUUUGGUUGUGUUGAAGAACUCCCAAGUGAUGUUUGUUUAUGUUUUCUGAGUAUACGUGUUAAGCUAAUAUAGUUUACAAUUUGAUAAAAAUAAUAGGUCUAAAAGUGAGCAUAUCACCUUAAUCCUUGCGUAGAAAAUUUAUUCGAGACUGCAAUACGAACAUCGUUUUUUUUUUUUUUUUUUUUUUUUUUUUUUUUUUUUUUUUGUAACAUUUUACUUGGCCUGGAGGUCUUCCUAUGGAAAGUAAAUCCGUCCGAGCACGUGGUUGUAUCUUAUGCACAUUUUUAAGAAUUACUUUUAAGUUUACUAGAUUUUCUUCUGAUCCUUUACGAUUUUUAACAACAUCAGGGAAAAGUAAUUCAUCAGGAGUACUGAGUUUAUUAGAACAUUUCAAUACAUUAUUAGUAUUCUUAUUACUAUCAUUAGGCAUUUUACCUAAAACACCACUUUCCUUAACCUCAGAAUUUACAAUGACAGAAUCGGCAUUAGAACUAUUACGUGCCCUAAAGUUUUCGGUCUUACCUAAUAAGUUCUUGCAUUUGGAUAACAUUACCUUAAUUAGAGUUUCAUCGAAGAGUCUUUGAGACAUAGUAUCCAAAUUACGAUUUUGCGUAAUAGCUAAUACACAAAUAUUACGAAGUUUUUCACCGAAAUCUAUAUUGCUUUUUGAAAAUCCAGUAGCAGAGCGUUGAAUGGCACAGUAAAAUCCACAGCGUUGAAUACCUUUACCCAUGCCCGAAGUUCCCUUUCUAGACCACCACAAUGAUCGUCACUAUCCGAAACUAAAUCAUACACAUCUUGUGUUUCGAUAAUUUAUAUCACAGAAUACCAGAAUACAUCAGCGUCUAAAGCAAUUUCGCUAAAGUAGACGAGUCUAAGGGCUCUAGUCUAGACAUCAUCGAGAGGGAAGAAUGAGUCGUUUUUUGCGAACAACUCGACAAAGAACAAGUCUCAUUCAAUCAUUACCAAAACAUAGAACUGUCAGAUAGAUAGUCAAUAGUUCAGAUGGAUCAUCGCGACAUGUAACAGAAGACCACGCCUACAAUCUGAUGUCAUCGAGAACUAAUUUAAUUGGCUAGCUACAUGAGGGUACAGGGCGGAGUCUAGCUUCUCGUCUUCUAAUGUAACCUCUUUGCGUUCGCCAAAGUCGACAACUGCAUUGCUAUUUAACUUUAGAGGAAUGGCAACAAUUAUUUAUAACUUAAAAGCGCUUAAAUUAAACUUGUACCUGAAAGUGUAGCUGAGUUUAUUUUUUAACUGCUACUGAAAAUUCCGUUCUCAUAAGCACUUUAAGUGAAUAAAAUAUUUUAAGAUAAUAUUAGUGUUAUUAAAACCUUUGGCUAUAAGUAGGUUAAUAUUUUACUUUGAUAAUCCUGUUCUUCUUACAUUUUUCCUUAUAACAUAACUAUGUCAUAGCAAAGUACGAAUCAGAGCCGUAGCUAGGGUUUUCAGCGCCCAGGGACAACUGAAGAUUUCGCGCCCCCUACUGCUUGCCAAGGAUGGAAAACAUUUAAUUUUAAAAUGUCCUAACAUCAGUUUGGCGCCCCUUGGAUUCUGCACCCGGGGACCUCUAGCUACGCCCUUGGCACUGGCUAUCUUAAUAUCUGAGCAACAGAACAAUUUAAAAAAAUUAUUUAAAUACCCUCUGCAUAGACUUAAAGAUGUCUGACAGAAUUAAAGUUGCUGUACGAAUGAGACCUCUAAUUGACAGGGAGGUAGAAGAAAAUGCGUUAGUCCAGUGGCAAGCCAAAGAUUCUAAGGUUGUUUAUCAGAUAACUUCUCCUUCAGUAAAAUUUCGAUAUGGUAAGUAU
rnacentral:lncRNA from 1 species